AUAGCCUAUUGAUCUCACUUUCAUUUUAGUUAAGAGUGUUGGGGGCCACAAAAAAUCGCAUCGAGGGCCGCAUGUGGCCCGCGGGCCGCCAGUUUGACACCCCUGCUCUAGCCCAACGCCAGAGAACCAUUAAAAGUUUCCCUUUAUAUCUAGAGAAUUUUUGGUGUAAGAAAAUUCGUAUUCCUCAUUCCAAGUAGCGGUCCGACUUUUUUUUAAAUAUAUAACCGCGCCAGUAAUUAUUGGUUGUCCUCUAAACAAAACAUGGCAAUCCAUAGAAAUUAUUUUACAUGAAUUUUUCGUUCCUAAAAUGUAACAGGCUUUUUUCAUUCUCUACAACUUGCGAUUUUUAUUCACUUUUUCAAAAUUCCAUAUAAUCGCCGAAUAUUCGUUUCAUUAAACUAGAGAAAUUUUUUAACCGAAGACAUCUGGUGUGUGAAAAUUAAAACCGAAUUUUUUUUUAAUAAAAAUAUUUACGAAUAGAAUCUUUUUUUUUUUUUUUUUCCCAUCCAAAUAAUGCCGUGUGGAAAUUAAAUUUUUCUAUUUGGCAUAUUUAACGGAGUAUUGUCAACCGGCCUUGUCACUAGGAAAAAGAUGUUUUACAUUGUUAGUUUUAUCGAUAUUAAAGAAUCGAUUGAGGUCCCUGAACGGAUAGAAUGGUGCCGAACUUAAUCAGAAAAUUGUUCAGAUAAGGGCUCGUUUUUCUUCAUUACUCAUUUUCAUUUUUAAAAAAAUCAAAUUUACAGUAUUGUGUUAAACCCUAUUUUAGGAAUUUUGGUUAUUGUAUUAGUUAAAAAGUACUUAUGAAAUAAAUAAUAAUACGAAAAGUUUUAAAAACAUAAUGUGUCGCGAGCAAUUUUAAAAACUUACUGUGAUCGACUGGUGACCGUAUCUCCAAUGUAUAACAACAACGAAAAGUAAAAAUUCGAUCCUAAUUUUCAGAAUAACGAGAAAAAUGAUUUUUUAUAUUACGCCAUAUGUUCACCACCGUCAUUAUUAUGCUUGUAUAAUUCCUGAAAUAUCCUUUGAGAGAUCAUCGGUAUUGAAAAGAACCAAUGAACUUUCCCCCACUAGCUUUACAGAAGGGGAACAAAAUCGCCCCGAGUCCAGUGGCAAAUGCUAUAAAAAUCUGUUAAACAUCAAAAGAUUUCCAUUUAAAAAUUACAUAAAGUUGGACUAAAAUUUCAUCCAAUAGUGUUUCUUCGCAAAAACCCGGAAAGUUUAAAGGUCGACUAUUUAAAAAGACCGAUCUUCAAAUUGAUGUCAUGGCCAGCUUCUGCCAUGCCUGGACUUUCCUCAAAAUUUAUGAAAAAUCCCACGAAUACAAGAUAUUGAAUCUGACAAGUUCGUCAGUUAUUUUAAAAAAUGGCCACCUGACUUUUAGUCACUCUACUUAUUCUCAGGAUUACGGUGGUGGUACUUGGCAGGUUCAGUUUCAAUAAUCUUAACUUUUAAUAAUACUCUAAAGGGUAUCAAAGGACAAAAAAAUGGUAUGGUAUAUUUGUUGCGAUUCCUUAAAAGGCUAACAAGAUAUUCGGGAUUAUUUUUAAAUGAGCUUUAAUUUAUUAUAAGUCUUUUUGGUUAUUCAUUUAGAAUUAAACUCUUCCUAUUAAUUGUAAAUAAUAAUAGGUAAACUUUAUUGAUGCUUAACCCACACACACCCUUAAAGUUUCAAUUUUCUGCCUUCCUCAGUAACACAGUAUAUAUAAAAUUCUAA
rnacentral:lncRNA from 1 species